rnacentral:rRNA from 1 species
CGGGUGCACUGAUCCGGCCGGGCCUUUCCCUCUGUGGAACCCCAUGGCCUUCACUGGCUGUGCGGGGGAAACAGGACUUUUACUGUGAAAAAAUUAGAGUGCUCCAGGCAGGCCUAUGCUCGAAUACAUUAGCAUGGAAUAAUAGAAUAGGACGCGUGGUUCUAUUUUGUUGGUUUCUAGGACCGCCGUAAUGAUUAAUAGGGACAGUCGGGGGCAUCAGUAUUCAAUUGUCAGAGGUGAAAUUCUUGGAUCUAUUGAAGACUAACUACUGCGAAAGCAUUUGCCAAGGAUGUUUUCAUUGAUAAGGAACGAAAGUUAGGGGAUCGAAGACGAUCAGAUACCGUCGUAGUCUUAACUAUAAACUAUGCCGACUAGGGAUCGGACGAUGUUAUUUCUUGACGCGUUCGGCACCUUUCGAGAAAUCAAAGUGCUUGGGCUCCAGGGGGAGUAUGGUCGCAAGGCUGAAACUUAAAGAAAUUGACGGAAGGGCACCACCAGGGGUGGAACCUGCGGCUUAAUUUGACUCAACACGGGGAAACUCACCAGGUCCAGACACAGUGAGGAUUGACAGAUUGAGAGCUCUUUCUUGAUUCUGUGGGUGGUGGUGCAUGGCCGUUCUUAGUUGGUGGAGUGAUUUGUCUGCCUAAUUGCGAUAACGAACGAGACCUUAACCUGCUAAAUAGCCCGUACUGCUCUGGCAGUUCGCCGGCUUCUUAGAGGGACUAUCGG